rnacentral:rRNA from 1 species
GAUGAACGCUGGCGGCGUGCCUAAUACAUGCAAGUCGAGCGAACAGACGAGGAGCUUGCUCCUCUGACGUUAGCGGCGGACGGGUGAGUAACACGUGGAUAACCUACCUAUAAGACUGGGAUAACUUCGGGAAACCGGAGCUAAUACCGUAUAAUAUAUUGAACCGCAUGGUUCAAUAGUGAAAGACGGUUUUGCUGGCACUUAUAGCUGGAUCCGCGCCGCAUUAGCUAGUUGGUAAGGUAACGGCUUACCAAGGCGACGAUGCGUAGGCGAACUGAGAGGGUGAUAGGCCACACUGGAACUGAGACACGGUCCAGACUACUACGGGAGGCAGCAGUAGGGAAUCUUACGCAAUGGGCGAAAGCCUGACGGAGCAACGCCGCGUGAGUGAUGAAGGUCUUCGGAUCGUAAAACUCUGUUAUGAGGGAAGAACAAAUGUGUAAGUAAAUAUGCACGUAUUGACGGUACCUAAUAAGAAAGCAACGGCUAACUACGUG